rnacentral:rRNA from 1 species
CAGUCGUACCGGCGGAUAAUCAGCCUUUCGGGUGCGAUUCUGUGGGGCGUGAGGAGCUUGACCGCCUUCAUGUUUUUGCAUAUUCGUGCACAUUUGGUGUACUUGUCCGUGUGGUGGGUUAACAUCAAUUUCGGUCGUCAUAAAAUGACGUGGA